rnacentral:rRNA from 1 species
AACGAACGCUGGCGGCAUGCCUAACACAUGCAAGUCGAACGAACCCUUCGGGACUUGUGGCGCAUGGGUGCGUCACGCGUGGGAACCUGCCCUUGGGUUCGGACUAACUCCCCGAAUGGGGUGCCAAUACCGGAUAAUGUCUUCGGACCAAGGAUUUAUCGCCUUUGGUUGGUCCCGAGUUGGAUUAGGUAGUUGGUAGGGUAAAAGCCUCCGAAGGCGAGGAUCCGUAGAUGGGAUCAGAGGAAGAUCAGCCACACUGAGACUGAGACACGGCCCAGACUCUUCCGGGAGGGAGGAGUGGGUGAUAUUGGAAAAUGGGCUGAAGGCUGAAACAGCUAGGACGCGUGAGCUAUGAUGGCCUUAGGGUUGUAAAGCUCUUUUACCCGGGCUGAUAAUGACAGUACCGAGAGAAUAAGCCCCGGCUAACUCCGUG